rnacentral:rRNA from 1 species
UACGAAGGUGGCAAGCGUUGUUCGGAUUUACUGGGCGUACAGGGAGCGUAGGCGGUUGGAUAAGCCCUCCGUGAAAUCUCCAGGCUUAACCUGGAAAGUGCAGAGGGGACUGUUCAGCUAGAGGAUGGGAGAGGAGCGCGGAAUUCCCGGUGUAGCGGUGAAAUGCGUAGAGAUCGGGAGGAACACCGAAGGCGAAGGCAGUGUCCUGGCGAGUGACUGACGCUGAGGUGCGAAAGCCAGGGGAGCAAACGGG